CUCGGCCUGUACAUCAGACCUAUUUAUGAAAGACAUUUUGAUUGAAGUUAAGACCCCUGCCAAUUCUUACCGAUUGUGCCGUUGUAAUAAUAUUUUCUCAGUGCCCCAUAAGUAUCGAUAGAUAAAUCCGGCCAUUAUUGCCUUUGUGGCACAAAAAUUUAUUUCUUAGGAAAAUGUUAUGUCUAAAGUUAACGGUUCAGUUAAGUGGUUCAACGAAACUAAAGGUUUUGGCUUCCUGUCUCAGGACAACGGUGGCAAAGACGUGUUCGUUCACUUCUCAGCUAUCGCUUCUACCGGUUUCAAAACCCUGGCUGAAGGCCAAGCGGUAUCUUUCGAUAUCGAAGAAGGUCAACGCGGCCCAUCAGCUGUGAACGUAACUGUUCGCUAACUGAUACUGACGUAAUAUUUUUACGUCACAAAAAAACCUGCUGCGGCAGGUUUUUUUAUU
rnacentral:sRNA from 1 species